ensembl:lncRNA
CGGGGCUGAAGUGGGCAGGCGAAUAGGAGGGCAAAGCUGAAUCUGCUCAAUGCUGGCAGGGGUUCGUGUGAGAAGGGCUGUCUGCUCGCACACCUCUCUCUCUGCUUUUCCCGUUGGCUUGCGAGCGACGUGGAAAUGGUCUCUCCUCAUCUUUCUUCCUCCCUGCUGUUUUUUAUCCGGUCGUCGUACAGUACAGUCGUACUUUUUACCCUAUUUGGAGUCUCCUGCGAUGUCCCACGAAAAGCUCUCACUCAGGAACAAAGUCACAGACCCUUUAUCGGGAAAAAUAUUUUGGUAAUCACCUGCAAUUCUGAAGCAAUAACACCACAAACAACAUCACAUUAUGAAGAAAAAGAGCCUUGUGGAUAACAGCCGAACCCUGGGACAUUCAGCUGCCUGACACUCACCAGAGCAGGUAUUUGUCGCUAAAGUGAUUUGAGGUCUCAUUUUGUAGCAGUUCAGAUCACAUUUUUCUCACAGGUAUCGAAAAGAAAGAGUUAACAGAUCAAGUUAUGAGCUUUCGAAAGCACAUGGCUUCUCACUUGCACAUGCUGCAUGCAAAAAUGUUAAUUCAAAGCUGUAUUUUAAAUGUCAAAAUAAUUUAAUCUAUCUUUGCUCAAUGUGACAACUCUAAGUAAGCUAUUGAGAUGUUGAUUUCCCUGCAAAAUAACUAGGGAUUUGUUUUGUGCUGUCAAAACAUUUACUUGAGAAUACUGACCUUCUCGACCAAUGGAGUGAGUUUGUGGGCGGGACUAUCUGUUUUUAUGAGCAAAUAGAACACGCAGGCAGUGUUCGAGGAAACCUAUUUGGAAGCAAUAAUUAUUUUUGCAACUCCAGUGCAGAAAUUACUUACAUUAUUAGUGUUAGUUUCAGUGUUUUAUUACAGGCCUAAUUAACAAGUGUCAACAAAUGCAAUGUUAAAUUAAAAAAAGUUUUUUUGUGUUUUAGCUUCACUGAAAAAAAAAAUCGUGUAGAAAUGGUUUUCACUAACAGUUUCAAACAUUGAAUUAAAUACAAAAUAAGAGUGAAACAAUAUUUUCUUGUAUUACGUACUCCUACAAUAUUUUUUUAAUUCAACAAGCGCUAUUUUUGCAAUCUGUUUGCAAUACAGCUAUCGCAUUGAUAAGUGCUGAACAUACACUGAACGCAUACGCAAACAAGGUCAACAGGCACUUCCUGUUUAGAAAUACUAUUUUUGCAUCCAGGACGUAGAGCUGAAGUUCUGCAGAUUGUUAGGGGUCGCGCUGCAAAUGAUAAGCAUGUUAAAAAGGCCUCUGGACUUGCACCACCAUGGGUUU